GAAUCCCUAAUUAGGGAUUUUGUAGCGUUGAUUCCCUAAUUGUGGAUUAUAGAUUAAAAAAAAAAAAAACUGAAAACCCCUAAUUAGUGGAAUUUUCUCUAGAACUAUGAAAUGCUUUGUUUCUCUCGAGGGUAGCUAGAUUGGGAAAAUGCUGAAACCAUUAGCUUCUAUGCGAUCUGCAAAAGUUGGGAUUAAAGAUCGAGCAUCAUGAGGACAACCUGAAAUUUCUGAAGUCUCAAACAAACAACUUAGGAUGAAUCCAUUUUUGAUAUGUAAGGAAAAGGCCAACGACAACUGUUGUUUUUUCAUCUGAUUCCCUUUUUGCCUUCCAUAUACUGGGAAUUGAUGCACUUGUGGGCAAUCAAAGUUCCAUCUAUAAUCUGUCUGCUAUAUACAAAAGCUCCCUGCACCUUGGAGAUACAUUUCCUAGCACCUUUUCUGACAGAGAGCACGGCCUGCAACCUUUUAUGUAAAGCUGCACCUUCCAACUUGUACAUGCACUUGGACUCUCUCAUCUGUUCUUUGAAUAUUUGGUAUUGCUUGUCUUCUCAAUUGGGUCUCAUUUUGAACUUCUACAUGCACUUGGAUACUCUCAUAUCUGGCCUUUUGGAAAUUAGGUAUUGCUGGUAUUCUCAAUUGGGUCUUGCAUUUUGAAUGUCUGCAU